ACUAGAGAGGUGAUGCUUCAUAUUCGUCGUAUCGAGAGAAACUGAAGCUGAUCCCGCUUACGGGUCUAUUAAAAGGGACAUCUCCAAGCUAUCGUCAUAUUACGCAAUUUAUCAUUGAUGAUACGAUAUCGGUACAUAUCUUUUGUUAUUAUAGGAGAAAUUGUUCGAAAUGCCAGGCUAGAGAGAUAUAACUUCAAAGAUUAUUUGCCAUCUGAACGGCGGCUGACAAGUAUUUGCCAGUAAAAUAAAGUGCUUGACAAAGAUAAUUUGCCAUCAAGUAAAAGUUCUGAUAAGGAUUAUUUGUUCGUGAGAUAAAAGGAAUGGCAACGAUUAUUUGUUUUUAAAUAUAGGGAUACUGCAAUAAUUACUCGUAAGAUAAAUGAUGGCAAGGAUGAGUUGCAGAUAUAAGAAUUGUGGUAUUUAUUAGAAAUAUGUAACAUUUAUUAAAAUUUUGUAUAUAAUAAAACGUGCUGGAUAUCUGCGCGUAACAGAAAUGUUUACUAUAAAAUAUGCUUACGAUAAAGAUGUAUUAUAAUAUAAAGAAUAUAUUUCGAAAAACU